rnacentral:rRNA from 1 species
GAUGAACGCUGGCGGCGCGCCUAACACAUGCAAGUCGAACGAUUAAAGCACCUGCGGGUGUGUAUAAAGUGGCGAACGGCUGAGUAACAAGUGGGCAACCUGCCCCUUUCAUUGGGAUAGCCACGGUAAACCGUGGGUAAUACCGAAUACUUCGAGACUUCAGCAUGGAAGACUCGAGAAAGCUCCGGCGGCGUGGGAUGGGCCCGCGGCCUGUUAGCUUGUUGGUGGGGUAACGGACUACAAAGGCAAUGAGGGGUAGCUGAGUUGAGAGACCGACCAGCCAGAUUGCGCCUGAGACACGGCCCAGACUCCUACGGGCGGCAGCAGUGGAGAGUCUUGCACAGUGGGCGCGCGCCUGAUGCAGCGACCCCGCGUUCGGGAUGAAGGCCUUCGGGUUGUAAACCGCUUUCAGCAGGGACGAGGCGAAAGUGACGGUACCUGCAGAAGAAGCCCCGGCUAACUACGUG